rnacentral:rRNA from 1 species
CCUACGGGAGGCAGCAGUAGGGAAUAUUGCUCACUUGGGGAAACCCUGAAGCAGCAACGCCGCGUGGAGGCUCAAGUUUUUCGGAUUUUAAACUCCUUUUGUUCUAGAAGAUAAUGACGGUAUCUAACGAAUAAGCACCGGCUAACUCCGUGCCAGCAGCCGCGGUAAUACGGAGGGUGCAAGCGUUACUCGGAAUCACUGGGCGUAAAGCGCGCGUAGGCGGGAUAGCAAGUCAGAUGUGAAAUCCUAUGGCUUAACCAUAGAACUGCAUUUGAAACUGUUAUUCUAGAGUAUGGGAGAGGUAGGUGGAAUUCUUGGUGUAGGGGUAAAAUCCGUAGAGAGCAAGAGGAAUACUCAUUGCGAAGGCGACCUGCUAGAACAUAACUGACGCUGAUGCGCGAAAGCGUGGGGAGCAAACAGGAUUAGAUACCCCAGUAGUC